rnacentral:piRNA from 1 species
UAUAAAGAGAGAGUUCCAUCAGGUUUCUU